CAGCAACAGUGUGAAGGUGUAGACAAAGCAAAUCUAUUUGUUGGAUAUGGUAAACUGCACCAAAUAAUAAAUGAAUUGAAACUAGUACAUGAAGGCAUAGCUUGAUAGAAAACUAAAUGCACCAUUUAAGCUCUGUGAUGAAAAGCUUCACUAUUUUCAAACUUCAGCACUGGUCAGAAACACUAGAGGGCAAGUGGAACAAGACUAAUGGGUGAGAGGACAUAAAGUGAUUAGCAGAGGCCUGUAAUAAGAAGUCAAAUGCAACCCAUUUAAAAAUGAAACUUAGCUGCUUCUGAGCCUGGAAGAGUCCAAGGUAACCAUCAGGCCCUCCUUGGCAGCUAUCCAAUGCGUUCUAUCAGCCACCCCUAAAAUCUGUUAUUGGAUUAAAUAGAUGUGUCUGGCUCCACAUUUAGAGCUCUUCAGUAGCUUCCCAAAGACAUCUGUCAUGAUUGUAACUAGCUAUACUUGCCUGUAUACCUACCUCUAGCUGCACCUUCACUUCUUUAUCCCCACCAAGCAUUUAACCUACUACCAUUAUUUAAUAACAUAUAGGACUCAAAGCAUAGCCUGGUAUCACAUUUUUGUCAGGCAUUCCUGACACACACAUUGUGUCAGGCAUUGUGUCAGGCAUUCCAUAUAUUUGUGCUAAGUUACUCUGUGCAAUAUACAAAAUAGGAGAAUUUAUAAUAUCUUUGUCAGCAUACAUACAGACACUGAUAGAGUGAUCCCUAGUUCCAUUUGGAAUGUUAUUGUAAAAGAUUUAUGCAAGAAAAAUAUGUCUCUUAAGUAAAAAAAAAAACCCAAAACAAUAAUUCAAAAAACUCUGCCAAACCUUAAAGCAAAUAGGCAUAAAGUGUUACCAAGAUAGCAAGAAAAAAAAAUCCCAAUAUAUUAUCUACAUUCUUGAGAAAUAUUGCAAGCAUAUGAUGGUAUUUAUUUCAACAUGUACAGCCAAAAAAGAAGAGUAAUAAACCAUUUUUUAAAUAUCUUGAAAUGACACUAAUUUGGUUUAAUCCAGAGAGCACUGACUGCUUGCAGGGACAGAGAGCCCUGUGGAGCAACAGAUAAUGUACUAGAUGUGAUCUCUCUUCACUUUACAAAGGACAUUGAGACCUGGAGUGUGCUCAGUGAAGGGUAAGGACGCUCAUGAAAGUUCUAGAAACACGUCUUAAGAGGAGCAGCUAAGGGAGCUGAGUUUGUUUAGUCUUGAGGAGGCUCAAGGGAGGAGCUCAUCACUUUCUACAACUAUCUGAAAGGAGGCUGUGGUGAGGUGGGGACCAGUCUCUUCCACUGGCCUUGCAGUGAGAGGACCAGAGGACCAGGCUUUAAGCUGAGACAGGGGAGAUUCAGAAUGGAUAACAGAAAAAAUGUUUUCACUGUUAGGGUGGUCAUGCAUUGGAAUAGGUUGCUUAGGGAGGUUGCUUCCAGGGAGCCACCAUCCCUGGAAGUGUUUAAGAGGCACCUGGAUGUGGUGCUGGGUGAUGGUUUAGGGGUUACAGUGGUAGUACUGGGUAGACGGUUGAACUGGAUGCUUUUAGAAGUCUCUUCUAACCUUGACAAUUCUAUAAUUCUAUGAUUUUUGGUCAGUUUUUGGCCACGUUCUCAUGGAAACCCCUGUAAAACAAAAUUUGCUGGUAGUUUGUAUAACAUGAGUUAAGGCUCAGGUCAGCUUCCCAUUUGGACUCCAGAAGAAGCUUUGAAAUGAUUUUGAGACAUUGCUACACCUUUCAAAGCUCAGCUGACACUGCAAGCUGUAGAAUGUAAAGCUUGAAGGAAAACAAACAAAAGUGUUGUAGUUAGACCAUAUUUUAAAAUUUGCAAGUGUCUCCAGGAAGAGUUAGACAAGGAUAUAUUUGUGGAAAUUAAUCUACAAAUUUACUCAGAAGGAUAAGUGGAUGUAGGGUGGCAAAAAUGUGCUGGAAAUUAAAUUGAAAACAAAUGGUUGUUAAUUGAUGGGCAUUAUGCAUAUUCAGAUCCUGCAUGAGCAGCAUAAGAUGGUGUUAAUGAGAGGUGACAUUAAAUAUUAUGUAAAUUAUGCUUCAUGUCAAAAAAACGUAUGGUACUUUAACCAUGGUUCAGGCAGUUUUCACAUUCUCUUGCUACAUUUACAGAAUGCAGCUGUCCAGACUAGUUAUAUUUACUCACAUGCAAUGAAAUAGCUCAGUGUAGAUGAACCAGCACAGACCACAGGAAGAAGCACAGCAGUAGCACUGUGGCACUCUGGCUCAGCAGCCUUAUUUCACACUUAAAAAGCUUCUGAAUUGAGAAAUAGCUUCUGCUCUUUGUUCAGUAAGCUCAAGUUUGUGCAGUAGAGUUAUCAAAGCAGACCAACAGCUGACCUGAACUGGGAUGUCAGCACAUACUAAAACUGCGUGUUUGUUUUUUUUUUUUUUUUCUUCAAUUUAAAAAGUAAGGGUUGGACAGGAUGCAGGUGAUCUCAUGGGAGUCCUCUAAAAUCCACCUAUUGUUAAGAGCCUCUGAAUUUAUUUUAAUUCUUUUCAGGCUUGAACCAUGAAUUGGGAAAUCUUGUGUAUUGACUGAAAGCAAAAUCCUGACUUUCUAUGAGUUUCCCUGUAAAGCACUUAGUUUGUGAUGGGUAAAAGCAUGUCUUUCUUGGAAACACUUUGUCUUGCUUCCAAUGCAUUAUGACAUUCUGGAUUCAAUGAAGCUCUGGAUUAGUUUAUCUGGGGCCCAUUAGCACAUGUUUGUCAUCACCCAGGACCAAAAUAGAAAAUGGCCUUAUUUCUUAUUCCUAAGAAAUGUUAAAGUGUUUGGUGGGAUCGUGAUUAAGUCUCCUGAUAUCAGAAAUAAAAACAAUGUUUUUGUUGGGGGAUGGGGAGUGUCAGGAAUCAUAAGGCUGUACAAAAACUGUAAUCUCUUACUGGAAUGUGGCUUUGGACUGUGCUAGGAAUUGCUUACUCAUGCUGAGCUGCCCCUGGGAGUCAUGAGACUUUUGUUGUGGUCACAUGCUUGUAAUCACCAUGGUGUAGGAUGUUUAUCAAAGUCACUGAGGGAAUAAAAGCACUGUGCUUUUUAAAGCAGGGCCUGCGGUAUGAAAUACAUUUGCUUCAUUUUCUGUAGAAUAAUGAGCUCACAGAAUCUUUUACCAAUGUUCAUUUGAAUGUAGUCAUCACCUUCCCUACACAGUCUUAUUUUGUACUUAAAAACCUGCAGUUACA